rnacentral:rRNA from 1 species
AACGUAGGGGACAAGCGUUAUCCGGAUUUACUGGGCGUAAAGCGCCCGUAGGCGGCCUGACAAGUUGGACGUGAAAGCUCCUGGCUUAACUGGGAGAGGCCGUUCAAAACUGUCAAGCUAGAGUCUGGAAGAGGAGAGCGGAAUUCCCGGUGUAGUGGUGGAAUGCGUAGAGAUCGGGAGGAACACCAGUGGCGAAAGCGGCUCUCUGGUCCAAAACUGACGCUGAGGGGCGAAAGCGUGGGGAGGCGAACGGGG